rnacentral:rRNA from 1 species
GAUGAACGCUGGCGGCGUGCCUAAUACAUGCAAGUCGAGCGAACAGAUGAGGAGCUUGCUCCUCUGACGUUAGCGGCGGACGGGUGAGUAACACGUGGAUAACCUACCUAUAAGACUGGGGUAACUUCGGGAAACCGGAGCUAAUACCGGAUAAUAUAUUGAACCGCAUGGUUCAAUAGUGAAAGACGGUUUUGCUGUCACUUAUAGAUGGAUCCGCGCCGCAUUAGCUAGUUGGUAAGGUAACGGCUUACCAAGGCAACGAUGCGUAGCCGACCUGAGAGGGUGAUCGGCCACCCUGGAACUGAGACACGGUCCAGACUCCUACGGGAGGCAGCAGUAGGGAAUCUUCCGCAAUGGGCGAAAGCCUGACGGAGCAACGCCGCGUGAGUGAUGAAGGUCUUCGGAUCGUAAAACUCUGUUAUUAGGGAAGAACAAAUGUGUAAGUAACUAUGCACGUCUUGACGGUACCUAAUCAGAAAGCCACGGCUAACUACGUG